rnacentral:rRNA from 1 species
UACGUAGGGGGCAAGCGUUGUCCGGAUUUAUUGGGCGUAAAGAGCGUGUAGGCGGCCAGAUAGGUCCGUUGUGAAAACUCGAGGCUCAACCUCGAGACGCCGAUGGAAACCAUUUGGCUAGAGUCCGGAAGAGGAGAGUGGAAUUCCCGGUGUAGCGGUGAAAUGCGCAGAUAUCGGGAAGAACACCCGUGGCUAAGGCGGCUCUCUAGUACGGUACUGACGCUGAGACGCGGAAGCGUGGGGAGCGAACAGG